GCGGCUGGGCGGAAGCUGCACGGGCCUCCAUAUUGGGUAGGGGCAGCGGCUUUGCCUCUUGCCGGGCACCCUCUGAAUCUGGUGACUCGUCCCGAGUACUUCUUGGCUCCACAUCCAGUCCCCUCCUGGGCCCCGGAUUUGUAGCGCAGGACUUCUGGCGUCAGCAGCCACCCAGCAGCACAAGCGGCGCGAGCAAGGAUCAAAAGCGGUUCCUUGUUUUGAGCCACCACGUGGAUUGGCGGACCAAUGAGAGCGUCCACCUUCAUGUGCCUGCUGCCCAUACCCCUCCUUAUCCUGGGUCGGAACGCAGAACCUCUUAGACGAAAGUCUAGAGGCCUGUCAAAGUCGGCUGCUGUCCUGGACAUUUGAGGGCCUUGUUUGCGGCAAAACGAGCCGAGAUUUUGGGAUAGCCUCCCAGUUGAGGCCAUGGAUCUCGGGAAGUUUUGUGUCCCACUCUUGAAGACGCGCAAAUGGGAACUGGAGAUGUUACCACCUGGACUGCCCUGAUGCUAAGUGCAAGGGCUUGGCCACUUGCCCUCGAAGGCAGACUAUGAAGAGCGGCCAGCAAGUACAGGAAAGUAUCUGGAGCUAAAAGGGCUUGGAGCCCGGCGACAAGGGUUUGAGAGGGGCACUUACGCUCCCAUUCAGUGAAAUCAGUGGAUCAAUAUCAGCAAAGGAAGAGGUCCCUAGUGCAAUUUCCAUUCUUCGCCAUCUCUACCCUGGAAGGAGGGCCUGGGCUCCUCCUCCUGGACUCUGCAAUACUGUAAAGCAAUUCUGUCUGUGCAAUAUCUCCAUAUAGCUCCAUGUGGUCUGGAACUGCAGGAGGAAGAAAGCAACUACUGCAUAAAGGAAAACCCAGAAAAAAUGGGAAAAAAAGAAAUAAAAGAGAAACCACAACCCUUCA